CAGGAGCUUGCUCCUGGGUGAGAGUGGCGAACGGGUGAGUAAUGCGUGACCGACCUGCCCCAUACACCGGAAUAGCUCUUGGAAACGGGUGGUAAUGCCGGAUGCUCCAGUUGGAUGCAUGUCCUUCUGGGAAAGAUUCAUCGGUAUGGGAUGGGGUCGCGUCCUAUCAGCUUGAUGGCGGGGUAACGGCCCACCAUGGCUUCGACGGGUAGCCGGCCUGAGAGGGCGACCGGCCACAUUGGGACUGAGAUACGGCCCAGACUCCUACGGGAGGCAGCAGUGGGGAAUAUUGCACAAUGGGCGCAAGCCUGAUGCAGCGACGCCGCGUGCGGGAUGACGGCCUUCGGGUUGUAAACCGCUUUUGACUGGGAGCAAGCCCUUCGGGGUGAGUGUACCUUUCGAAUAAGCACCGGCUAACUACGUGCCAGCAGCCGCGGUAAUACGUAGGGUGCAAGCGUUAUCCGGAAUUAUUGGGCGUAAAGGGCUCGUAGGCGGUUCGUCGCGUCCGGUGUGAAAGUCCAUCGCUUAACGGUGGAUCCGCGCCGGGUACGGGCGGGCUUGAGUGCGGUAGGGGAGACUGGAAUUCCCGGUGUAACGGUGGAAUGUGUAGAUAUCGGGAAGAACACCAAUGGCGAAGGCAGGUCUCUGGGCCGUCACUGACGCUGAGGAGCGAAAGCGUGGGGAGCGAACAGGAUUAGAUACCCUGGUAGUCCACGCCGUAAACGGUGGAUGCUGGAUGUGGGGACCAUUCCACGGUCUCCGUGUCGGANCCAACGCGUUAAGCAUCCCGCCUGGGGAGUACGGCCGCAAGGCUAAAACUCAAAGAAAUUGACGGGGGCCCGCACAAGCGGCGGANCAUGCGGAUUAAUUCGAUGCAACGCGAAGAACCUUACCUGGGCUUGACAUGUUCCCGACAGCCGUAGAGAUACGGUCUCCCUUCGGGGCGGGUUCACAGGUGGUGCAUGGUCGUCNUCAGCUCGUGUCGUGNNAUGUUGGGUUAAGUCCCGCAACNAGCGCA
rnacentral:rRNA from 2 species